CUAAAAUUCUAAAAAUGCCUUCUUCCUUAAAAUUCAUAGUAAAUUUUAUAAUAUAUGUUUACAUCACAGCCGAUUUGAGAUUGGUCAAUAUUCUUUUCUCUUUUCGGUAGGGAAAAGGAAAGAAAACCUAAGCUGAACAAAUUAAGCCAAAUUUUAUACUUUGAUGAGAUGUGGCUGGUGCCUAUGUAUAUGGCCAACUUAGAACAAAUGGAGUGGGUAGAGGCAGUGUUAGCAUUUUAAUCAGCUGAAAAGUCCUAUUUGAACAAAUCCUUCAGCUCCCGAGCUUCAGGCUGUCAGCACAGUCAAGCUAUAAAAGAAAAUAUUCUCGGCCGGACAUUGUGGCUCACGCCUGUAAUCCAAGCACUUUGGAGGCCAAGGUGGGCCUCCUAUCUAUCCUGACUCUUCUGGACAAAGGCUUCAUCCCUGGUAAGUACUGUUACAGACAGACUAUUCUAAGCAAGGGGAGGGAACUUAAAUUAAGUAGCAUGAUGGAGACAGUGCUUUUUUUAAAUCUCCAGUUGUGAAAUCGGUGUAAUAUGGCAUGACCAGCAUAGAAUGCGAUAGAACAGAACAGACUGAAAAAGGAUCCAAAGCAUCAGAACGAUAGCAUGUCAUGGCCAAAGGUAAUCAAUGGAGAAGCCAUGAUUUUCAUUUGGAUUUCAGCCAAAGCACUUGCCUUGUAAUUCAUCCUCUCAGAAAUUUUUGCUGCCUGCAGGCAGUAAACAGUCCUCAGAGGAAAAAGUGCUCAUGGAGGGAGAGGCAGGCUUGGAAGCUCACUGUGGAAACUCCAGAGUGCUAACAGUAGAGGCUGAAGAGUUACAAGGCACAGCUAAGACCACCUAAGAUGCUAUCUAGGAGCCCCACUACUGCAACAAAUUUUUGUUGUCGUGGCGAGUUUUAGAUACUAGUUUCUGAAGAGGAACUUGUACAGCGAAAAAUGUCCAGUAUAGAGAAAUUUCAGUGUAUUUUGCAUUUCAAAUGUCCUGUUUCUAUUUAAAAAGUGGGUAAUCUCCGGAAAUGUGUGUGAUAAAUAACCCAACAAUGACGACUCUCUCUCCCUGCCAAAUGCCACACUAACAAUGAAACCAUUGAUUUGCUCCUGGAAAAAAUAUGCUUUGUUCACCUGGACAAGAAACAAACUGACUACAAAAUGUAUUUUUACAUGACAGUGUUGGAAAAUCCAGUGAUUACUGCUCAAGGUCAAAACUUGUUAUAACAAGCUCUAAGAGAAUGCUGUCAGGGUUUGUGUGUCCUACAAUUUGGUUGUAUUGAACAUUGCUUUUAAUAUGCCAUUGCUAUUGGCCUGGGAAUCUUUCGCGGUAAUGGAAUUCAGCUUGUACUUCCUUUAGACUUCUUGAUUAUUCAUGCUAAAUAAAGAAGGCUAUUAAUUAUUCAAUUAAUCCCCCUCUGUGGGAAAAUGCUAUUUGGAUUCUUAUUAUGCAUUUUAGCUACCUAGUUAGACAUAAUUAGCCAAAUAAAUGAUAACUUUCUGUUUCCCAGGAAACUUUUAUGCAUAGUCUUAGUCUCAAGCAUAGAUUUCUAAAUAUACUAUUAUUUACAGCACAACUGCAAAAGUCAGAGUCUGGUAGGGCACUGAUCAUAAAAAGUGAGUGUGCGUGGAGACGCUCUUUAUAGACUAUAAAGGCUGAAAAGUCACCCACCUUUAUUUAUUCCCAGCCUUGGCCAAGCUUCCAUGUUUUUCCACCUACCCAAACAACCAGUAAUGCUACAAUAAUUUAGGAGGUGGUUAUAAAUCAUCUGUAACAUGUCCAAACUUUUGAUUCCUGGGUAAAUACUUGAACUGGGUGUCUGUUGCUCACCAUUUCACAAUGCUCAGGUUCUGCCUCUCUGGGGGCUCUGAUAGUUUCUCCAAGGUGUAAUCUCACCCCUGCACACACCUCUUCUUUCUUGCCUUUGGGUGUGAUGGAGGCUGCCAUGCAGCAUGCAUGGAGCACAUUCUGAUAUUUGUAUCUGUAUGAUCAUAACAUAGGGGUUCGGCCACCAAUUCCCUGGAGAAGACAGUUCUGUGGCAUAUUUCAAAUGGCUUUUCAGAAGAUCUGGGCUGGACAGAGCAUCGUCUGCCUGCCGUGGUGCCCCAGUGGACAACACCUUCUUAAUGCAACCUUCUUUGCUUCCCUGUUCUAUGCCUUUGUCCCAC
rnacentral:lncRNA from 1 species